GAGGCAUCUCCGCUGAAGCGCCAGAAAGUCGUGGGCAACGACACUGGUGCCACCAGUCGGGUACUAGUACCUUCUAGUAGUCCUGAGCAUCAGGACAAUGGUGCUGUGGAGCCUGCCACAACAGGUCAAGGUGCUCCAGUGACAAACACCCUUGCUGUGGUAGCAGCUGCACCACCAGUAGCUG